rnacentral:rRNA from 1 species
AGCAGCCGCGGUAAUUCCAGCUCCAAUAGCGUAUAUUAAAGUUGUUGCAGUUAAAAAGCUCGUAGUUGAAUUUCGGGGCCAGUAAGUUGGUCGUGCCACUGGUAUGUACUGGCUUUACUGGUCUCUCCUUCUUGAAGAACCGUGAUGCCAUUAAUUUGGUGUUGCGGGGAAACAGGACUGUUACUUUGAAAAAAUUAGAGUGCUUAAGGCAGGCUUACGCUUGAAUACAUUAGCAUGGAAUAACGAAAUAGGACGCUCGAUUCUAUUUUGUUGGUUUCUAGGAUCGACGUAAUGAUUAAUAGGGAUAGUUGGGGGCAUUAGUAUUCAAUUGUCAGAGGUGAAAUUCUUGGAUUUAUUGAAGACUAACUACUGCGAAAGCAUUUGCCAAGGAUGUUUUCAUUAAUCAAGAACGAAAGUUAGGGGAUCGAAGACGAUCAGAUACCGUCGUAG